UACGUAGGGGGCAAGCGUUGUCCGGAAUCAUUGGGCGUAAAGAGCGCGUAGGCGGCCCGGUAAGUCCGCUGUGAAAGUCAAAGGCUUAACCUUUGAAUGUCAGCGGAUACUGCCGGGCUAGAGUCCGGAAGAGGCGAGUGGAAUUCCUGGUGUAGCGGUGGAAUGCGCAGAUAUCAGGAGGAACACCAACGGCGAAGGCAGCUCGCUGGGACGGUACUGACGCUGAGACGCGAAAGCGUGGGGAGCGAACAGG
rnacentral:rRNA from 1 species